rnacentral:sRNA from 1 species
GCUGGGCAUGGUGGCGCAUGCCUGUCGUCCCAGCAGCUUGGGAGGCUGAGGCAGGAGGAUUGCAAGUUCAAGGCCAGCCUCAGCAACUUAGCGAGGCCCUAAGCAACUUAGGUGAGACCCUGUCUCGA